rnacentral:rRNA from 1 species
AUUAGACUACCCCCGUAGUCCCAGCCGUAAACUAUGCGCGUUAGGUGUAUCGGUGACCACGAGUUACCGAGGUGCCGAAGGGAAACCGUGAAACGUGCCGCCUGGGAAGUACGGUCGCAAGGCUGAAACUUAAAGGAAUUGGCGGGGAGCACCACAACGGGUGGAGCCUGCGGUUUAAUUGGACUCAACGCCGGGAAGCUCACCGGAUAAGACAGCGGAAUGAUUGCCGGGCUGAAGACUCUGCAUGACUAGCUG